rnacentral:tRNA from 1 species
ACCUCUGGAGCAAAUGGUUAAGCGCUUGGCUACUAACCAACAGGUUGGCAGUUCACAUCCACCCAGAGGUG